rnacentral:tRNA from 1 species
GGUGGCUCAGUAGUAGAGUGGUCGCCUGCCACGCGGACGGCCCGGGUUCGUUUCCCGGCC